rnacentral:rRNA from 1 species
CUGGUUGAUCCUGCCGGACCUGACUGCUAUCGGAUUGGUACUAAGCCAUGCGAGUCGUUGUAGCAAUACAAGGCGGACUGCUCAGUAACACGUAGUUAACUUAACCUAUGGAUGGGAAUAACCUCGGGAAACUGAGAAUAAUACCCAAUAGACCACAGUGCCUGGAAUGGCCUGUGGUUGAAAUGAUUUAUCGCCGUAGGAUAGGACUGCGGCCUAUCAGCUUGUUGGUGAGGUAAUGGCCCACCAAGGCUAUAACAGGUACGGGCUCUGAGAGGAGGGGCCCGGAGAUGGGUACUGAGACACGGACCCAGGCCCUAUGGGGCGCAGCAGGCGAGAAACCUUUGCAAUGUGCGAAAGCACGACAAGGUUAAUCCGAGUGUCUCCUGCUAAAGGAGUCUUUUGUCAGUUGUAGAAUCACUGGUGAAUAAGGGGUGGGCAAGUUCUGGUGUCAGCCGCCGCGGUAAAACCAGCACCUCGAGUGGUCAGGAGGUUUAUUGGGCCUAAAGCAUCCGUAGCCGGUUGCAUAAGUUUUCGGUUAAAUCUAUGCGCUUAACGUAUAGGCCGCCGAAAAUACUGUGCACUAGGGAGUGCGAGAGGUACACGGUACUCGAUACGACAGGGUAAAAUCCUUUGACCUAU